CAGCCGUAAACUAUGCGCGUUAGGUGUAUCGGUGACCACGAGUUACCGAGGUGCCGAAGGGAAACCGUGAAACGUGCCGCCUGGGAAGUACGGUCGCAAGGCUGAAACUUAAAGGAAUUGGCGGGGGAGCACCACAACAGGUGGAGCCUGCGGUUUAAUUGGACUCAACGCCGGGAAGCUCACCGGAUAGGACAGCAGAAUGAUUGCCGGGCUGAAGACCCUGCAUGACUAGCUGAGAGGUGGUGCAUGGCGUCAGUGACUU
rnacentral:rRNA from 1 species